rnacentral:piRNA from 1 species
UAGGUGUCAGUGUUUAGUCAGUUUU